rnacentral:rRNA from 1 species
UACGUAGGUGGCGAGCGUUGUCCGGAUUUAUUGGGUUUAAAGGGUGCGUAGGCGGCCUUGUAAGUCAGUAGUGAAAUAUCUCAGCUUAACUGAGAGGGUGCUAUUGAUACUGUUAGGCUUGAGUACAGAUGAGGUAGGCGGAAUUGACGGUGUAGCGGUGAAAUGCAUAGAUAUCGUCAAGAACACCGAUAGCGAAGGCAGCUUACUAAGCUGUAACUGACGCUGAGGCACGAAAGUGUGGGGAUCAAACAGG